rnacentral:lncRNA from 1 species
CACUUUAAUACAUAGUAUACUUUGGGAACAAUUCCAAAAUCAUGGAGCCAGCGGAAGGGCUAGAGCAGCUCAGAAACCAGGCAACUGGAAAUGAACUUGGUUCUGAUACAUCAUUGCCAUUUCCAAAAAACGUGCGUAGCAAAUGUGGACGAAAUGAAUGAAACCAUGUAACAAUGUUCUUCAAACUAAAUUUAAAACUGAGUUGCCCAGAACGAAAAAAAUAACCACUAGCCAUUUUAAUAACUCAUAUGUAGAUUAAAUGAACAAGCUGUCCACCUAAAUAUCUCAUUUCGAUGUCAUCUACUCGCCUGCACACAUGGAUUAAUAGUUACUUUAUACUUUUUAGGCUGCAGCGAACGCAAGAUUCUCAAAGAAAUAGUUUCCUAACAGAAUGACUGAUACCAUUGUGGAAAGAGACAUUAUUCAGGACAUUAUCUGUUUCAUUCUUCCGUCAAGGACAUUUGGAACCACAAAUCAGUCAGGGGAUAAAGAUCCUCACUGUGCCUCACUGUAGACACCUUUGGAAGAGAAACACCUUGUCAGCCACAGAAAUUAAGCUCUGCCAGUUCCAUCUGGCUCUGACGGCAGAUCAUCACACCAGAAGAGCGUCUCGGUUUCAUGAGGUGAGGGUCUGUUUCUCAAAUACCAUCUCCCUCAAUAAAAUCACUAGUCAGGACAAUCCCCGCCCCCCCCGCAUUACUUCUCUUAAUAAAGUAUUGAUGCUAUUCAAAUGACAGUGCUGGGCUAAAUGAAAGCCGGUCAGGGUUUUGCUUCCAACUGGAACACUGCAAGCCCUCUAAAGGGAAAUACUUCUCAUUCCUUUGUGUCGAAUUCUGCUACAGUAGUUCCUCAAAUUGCUGCUGUUGCGAUUUCCUUCUCCCUCAAAAGUCAAAACCCAUUUUUCCCUGAUGUUUGGGUCCCUGAACUUUUUCUUCUGAUCAAAUCAUCCUCCCCACUUAACCCUCUCCCCUCUCACCCAAUAUAGGCUUUUCUUUUCCGGUUUUGCUUGACUUCAUUAAGGAAAGUAAAUUAAUCUCUGUUUGUCUGUGGUAUUUGUAAGUUGCUCUUUUUUCUUCGGUAUUACUUUCUGGAGAAUGACUACGCCCAACUUUCUAACUUUUUCUUUGUAAUGUGGAUGUUUUAUUUUCUAAUCCACAUUUCUCUUUGCAGUUUCUUGAACUUCCUUUGGUUGGUGUCACAGCCAGCCACCCAGUAGAGACUGAGACCACCAGUUCAUUUCACACAGGCCACUGAACAGUCAUAAGAUGGUGACAACUUUUGGUCUCUAGUGACCUGGACUGGAUCCGACUCACUGACCUAGAGGUGAAAGGCUCUGUAUUCCAUUACUAAUCCCUCGAGCUCUCCAGCCCCCUGAAAAUGAUUCUUUGGUUUUAUUAUUGCAAAGACCAUUUAUAAAAUCAUGAACUGGAUUUAGGAAAGCAACCAUGAAAUAGCAAGGGACAACAAACUGAUUGAAAUUCCUUAAAUGUAGCAUGGGCUGAAGUCUCUCAGACAGUAAGAUUGGGGGGAAAGUUAUAUAUAGGCACCUCCAUUCUGAUUUCAGUAGCGUGACCUGCUCACUUAAACGUGGCAACUUCAGAUCAUGGACCACGCCUCAAGGAACUAAAUCCUAAAUAAAGAAAAUGGAAAAGCAAACUAUGAAAUAGCCAAUAAUCUUUAUUUUGCACUUCCCCCACCCCUCACCCCUCUCCAAAAACCACUAACGCGCAUUUUUGUGCAUGUGAAAAUAUUGUAUAAAGUAUUUAGAAUGAUCUCAAAUUAAUCAAACAAAAAAACACAUAUCUCAACAUAGAUGCUUUGUUUCUUAGCGGGGAUAGAAAAAUUCUGGCCUCUUGAACAACGAGGGCAAUGACACCCUGUGCUCCGAAGAGGUCGACUCCAUUUCCACUGAUUUGCAACUUAACAUUCAUGGCAGAAAACCGCAUUUCUCUAACCACAUAAUGUUUUAAAAUAUGACUAAUUCAUACACUAAUAUCAAUUUACUUGGCAUUUAAAAAAAUCACAUUUUCUAGUAAUAUAUUUGUAUUAGGUUCAAAGCCCAUAUUCUAGCAUCCAACAGAUCCAGCACAUGGGCCUACACUGGGAUUAUUUCAAAAUCAAGUAAAAGUCCGUAUUUAUCCCAAAGUUGCUAAAAUAUGCUAAUAAAGUUAAAUUUGAUGUUUUUUUAACAUUAAAAAUAAAAUAUUUGGUUUACCUCUCAGACAUCUAUAACAUAUAAUAAAUAGUGGGCAGUAUAAUAAUAUAAUAAAGUUUUGUGAUACCCUGAAAUUUGAUGAGUUUUCUUAAAAAAAUUCAUAAUAUACUUCAUUUCAGCCUUAAAGCACAAUAUUAAUGAACAGAUUUGUAGAAAUAAAACAAUAUAAAGACAAAAUGCUACAGUAUAUGUGGGUUUUUUGUUGUUUUUUUUUUUUACUUUCAUGGAAACUACAUGUCCUUUUAGUAAAAGUCUGUCAAAGAAAUUUACAAAAACAAAA